AUUCCAGCUCCAAUAGCGUAUACUAAAGUUGUUGCAGUUAAAAAGCUCGUAGUUGAAUUUCUGGUCGUGGCGACCGGUCCGCCCCUCACGGGGUGUGCACCUGGUCUCUGCGUCCAUCCUCGGGGAGAGCGCGUCUGGCAUUCAGUUGUCGGGCGCGGGAUCCUCGUCAUUUACUGUGAGCAAAAUAGAGUGUUCAAAGCAGGCUUAGGCCGUUGAAUACAUUAGCAUGGAAUAAUAAGAUAGGACCUUGGUCUAUUUUGUUGGUUUGCAUUCCAAGGUAAUGAUUAAUAGGGAUAGUUGGGGGUGUCUGUAUUGUGUUGUCAGAGGUGAAAUUCUUAGAUUUACACAAGACAAACUACUGCGAAAGCACUCACCAAGGAUGUUUUCAUUA
rnacentral:rRNA from 1 species